GAUGAAGAACGUAGCGAAUUGCGAUAAGUAAUGUGAAUUGCAGAAUUCAGUGAAUCAUCGAAUCUUUGAACGCAUCUUGCGCUCCUUGGUAUUCCGAGGAGCAUGCCUGUUUGAGUGUCAUUUUAACUUCUCAACCAUAUCGAAUUGUUUUUCGAGGUGGCUUGGACAUGGGGGUUUUUGCAGGCUUUAAUAAUGAAGUCGGCUCCUCUGAAAUGCAUUAGUGGUAUCUGAAGCAGAACUGCUACUAUUAGGUGUGAUAAUUAUCUAUGCCUCUUGGUAUACUGCAUGAACAGAUUGCGCUGCUUCCAACUUGUACACCCUUUGGUGUUUGACAAAUUUGACCUCAAAUCAGGUAGGACUACCCGCUGAACUUAAGCAUAUCAAUAAGCGGAGGA
rnacentral:misc_RNA from 1 species